rnacentral:rRNA from 1 species
UACGGGGGGGGGCAAGCGUUGUUCGGAAUUACUGGGCGUAAAGGGUUCGUAGGUGGCCAACUAAGUCAGACGUGAAAUCCCUCAGCUUAACUGGGGAACUGCGUCUGAUACUGGUUGGCUUGAGUGCAGGAGAGGAAUGCGGAAUUCCAGGUGUAGCGGUGAAAUGCGUAGAUAUCUGGAGGAACACCGGUGGCGAAGGCGGCGUUCUGGACUGCAACUGACACUGAGGAGCGAAAGCCAGGGGAGCAAACGGG